UCCUUCAAAUUCAUCGUAGUUGCGGUAUUCGCCAUCAGUGAUGAGCACACUGAGCUCAUCAAGGCCUGCAACAUCUUCGGCCGUUUCCUCUUAUGGCUACUCUUUAGUUGAGAGCAACCAGCAUCAAUCUCAAUGGACACAUGCAACAAGAAACCCCUGGGAAAUUGUGGCAGCUAAAGCCAUUGAGUACUUGCUUUCUUCUUU